AUGAAGCCCCGACUUCUGCAGAGAGGAAUUAGAAGUGUCUGGUCAUUGUUUGCUAAUGUGUUCAUCUCCCUAGCGGUCACCCCUCUGCCCCCACCCCCGGGGCCUGACACCUCUAAGGCCAGAAGAGCAAAUGCCCUGAGGCCAACUGUGAGCUCCUCCAGGGCCAAGGAAGAGGUGGCCUUGUGCUUUGGUCUCUGUGCCUUGCAUCACCUCGGCUUACCACAAGGCCUGGAAGUCCCCAGAGCUUCAAUGCAGAUUGGUGAAUGGCGAACGGCAGUUGUACAGAUUCCAAGACAUCCUGAGGCCAGAGGAAGAGCCAGGAGAAGUCCAAGUCUAGGCCAGUUCUGCCCAGCUCUGCUCAAUCGUCAGGCGCAGAACAGUCAGCAACAAGGGCUCUGGCCUGUGGCAUGGGCUGAGGCAGGAUGGGAGCCAGGAUGGGGUAGAGAAGUGGUCCUCUCCCCCCUGAGCCAGCUCCCAGCAGCCCCUGGACACUCCAGGAGCCCGUCCUGAGAGCCCUGGUCCAGGUCCCGGACUGUGACUUAACAAGGCUGACAUGGCAACUCGGGGUACGCGGAAGGGAGGUCCUGUUCCAUUCCCCCAGGACCAGUCCCCAUCUCCCUGGGGAUGACAGCAACAGCCCUCGGGCACUGGACAGUCCAGGUUCCCAUGCUGGCCUCUCCCAGGCCCUAAGCCACAGGACUCUGCCCUGGACUCUCCCCCGGCUGGACUGCUGAGCAGGCAAGCCAGAGGCCAGGACCAGGGACCACCAUCUUGCCUGAAGCCAGUUUCAGAGCCUAGGGACUCCAGGCCCUGCUGGACCCUCCCAAGUUCUCUCCCCUGCCUCACUCAGGUCCAGCCACCCCCAGGGGAGCUGGGGAAGGAAGGGAUUGUGAAUAACAGCCAUGUAAACAACCCUUGCCAGCCUGUCCUGCCACAGAACUGGCCUUUGGGGGAGGCCAGAGCCUGGGGAGGUCUCUGCCAACGUGGCUCAAGUUGUGCCUGAUGCCAGCCCGGUUGACCCCUCUCCCUAGGGUUCAAGAGGACCCCUCCUCUUUGCUGCUAUGGGUGAGAGGCUGCCUGCCUUCACUUCCGUCUCUUGGGUGGGAGGAAGACUCCAGACUGGUUCCCCAGUCCCCCCUCCCUAGGGAUGGCUGUGUGACUUGGGAGUGGGCUGGAGACCUCCAGAACUCAUCCGUGGGAUGGGGAAGUGGGGCAGGGAGGCAGGAGAGUGGAGGGGCAGGAGAUGGGUGCCUGCGGGGAUGGGAAGUGCCCCUUGGGCGUGUGGGUUUCUGUGUGUGUGUCUGAAUCUGUCUGUGUGUGUUUGAAUCUGUCUGUUUGUGUCUGUGCUCUGGAGCCACCCCCGCAAAGGAGCCAGGGUGCUUCCUCUGGUGGAGGGUGCCCUGUCUGCCCAUUUCCUCUCCUACUCUCCACUCCCCCCCCCAGGGGCCACUCCUCUGGGCUCCUCUCCAGCACACAGCCAGGGAGCGGGGGGGAGGGCACCCUGAGGAUGGGGAGACCCUCAGAGCCCCGGGCUGGAGCUCAGGGUGGAGCUCCUCUCAUCCCAUCAACGCUGGACACUUGGUGAAACCCAGGCCCAAAGCCCGGACAGAUCUGAGGCAGCCCCUCCCAGGCCCCUAAGCACAGCACUUAGUGCCAUUGGGACCGAGCCGGGGAGGGGGCUUGGGUGGGGGCCUUGAACAACAGCUUGGCCCGCUGAGGAUGAGGAGGGCACACUGCAGCCAGCCGGGCUGGAGAGGACCAGGGGAGAGGGGUCCCGCAGGCGAAGGCUGGGCCGGCGAGGGUCCCAGUGCCCAUCACUGACCCGUGAGAACCCGGUGACUGCCCCUGCCAGCUCCAGCAUUGUCCCCUCC
rnacentral:lncRNA from 1 species